rnacentral:lncRNA from 1 species
GUAGACUCCUUAAACCUUUUGACCCAUCCCUGUUUCAGUCCAACACACCUGAUUCAGCUUAUCAAGGUCCUGAUGGGGAAGAUCAAUCAUAGAAUCAGGUGUGUUGGAGCAAAUACCUGCAGACAUCCGGUAACACUUCAGGUGGGUUGACAACCCACACUACAUACGCGUAAUCUCUGAACCCAGAACAAAAUCACGCGUAAACCAACCAGUCACCUGUGAAUGUUUAGGAGACAACACGCCGCACUUGUCUAACAUUAUGCUGCUGGUUUGCAAAUCUAGGACAACGUGAUCUCGAGGAACAAUAAAUCAGCUUUUUUUUAUCCAUGGUGUUUGCAAGUUGUAAAGAGAUGGAUGGUAUCGGGAACACAAUGCAGAAGAAGGCUGCGGAGCUCGAGCGCAUGGCCGAGGUUCUGGUCACCGGAGAGCAGCUGAGGUAGGAGUGGCUGGCUCGAGCUGACAGCUCUGUGUGAUGCUGUUCAAACUGUGUUGCGGCUUUUCAAACAAAGGCGUGAAUUGUAC